GACGAACGCUGGCGGCGUGCUUAACACAUGCAAGUCGAACGGAAAGGCCCUGCUUGCAGGGUACUCGAGUGGCGAACGGGUGAGUAACACGUGGGUGAUCUGCCCUGCACUUCGGGAUAAGCCUGGGAAACUGGGUCUAAUACCGGAUAGGAGCCAUUUUUAGUGUGAUGGUUGGAAAGUUUUUUCGGUGUAGGAUGAGCUCGCGGCCUAUCAGCUUGUUGGUGGGGUAAUGGCCUACCAAGGCGGCGACGGGUAGCCGGCCUGAGAGGGUGGACGGCCACAGUGGGACUGAGAUACGGCCCAGACUCCUACGGGAGGCAGCAGUGGGGAAUAUUGCACAAUGGGCGCAAGCCUGAUGCAGCGACGCCGCGUGGGGGAUGACGGCCUUCGGGUUGUAAACGCCUUUCGCUAGGGACGAAGCUUUUUGUGACGGUACCUAGAUAAGAAGCACCGGCUAACUACGUG
rnacentral:rRNA from 1 species